UACUACAUUACAAAAAUUAUAUUACAAAUCUUUACACAUGUUCCAAUAUAAAUUACAUGUACAUAUAAUUGAUAAACGAACGGAGAAGGGUUGAAUUGGAUGACUAAAUGAGAGAAAUGAUAAGUAGGAGAUUUUAGACCCAAAAUCUCCAAAUAAUAAUAAUAAUAAUAGCCUAUCAUACCCCAAAAAUACACAAAAAAACAUACAACAUGGGCAUCUCGCGACACCGCGGGGACUAAUGCCUAGUUCCAAUUUCAUGCAUUAACUCGAGACUACAGUUUUAUUUGGCAGGUACAAUCCCUCAAGAGAUUGGUAAUCUUUAUAACCUGAAACUAUUAGCCAUGGAUUAUAACCUCAGAUUAUAUGAUCUAUCCCAAGAGAAAUCUGGAAUUUGACUCGGCUUCAGCGGCUCUAUCUUGGGCACAACAACUUAACAGGUAUAAUUACGGCAAAGGCUUGGUGGUAUUUUAAAGCUAAUGCUGUUUAGUCUAGAGAAUAACCAGAUUGAAGGCUCUAUACCAAUUAGAGCUAUUGGAAAUUUGAUUGCACUUAAAGAACUAUACCUUGGUGUAAACAAUUUAACAGCUUCUGGAGCCUCAAAGAUCUCUUGGGAUUUAUUCUGUCAUCGAAUUUCUUGACUGGCUCUCUACCUUCAGAGAUUGGACUGUUGAAGGUUGCAACAUGGAUAGAUUUUUUGAUGAAUCAGUUCGCAAAUAACAUUCCCAGCAGAAUUGGAGAUUCAGAAAACUUGAAUCCUCUUUCUUUGGCAUAUAACAACUUUGAAGGUACCAUUCCUGAGUCAAUCAGUAACA